UAGUCCACGCCGUAAACGAUGAGUACUAGCUAUUGGGGGUAUUGACUCCCUCAGUGGCGCAGCUAACGCAUUAAGUACUCCGCCUGGGAAGUACGGUCGCAAGACUAAAACUCAAAGGAAUUGACGGGGGCCCGCACAAGCGGUGGAUUAUGUGGUUUAAUUCGAAGCAACGCGCAGAACCUUACCUAGGCUUGAAAUCCCUCGAAUCCCGAGUAAUUUUGGGAGUGCCCGCAAGGGAAUGAGGUGACAGGUGCUGCAUGGCUGUCGUCAGCUCGUGUUGUGAAAUGUUGGGUUAAGUCUCGCAACGAGCGCAACCCCUAUCUUUAGUUGCCAGCAUUAAGUUGGGCACUCUAAAGAGACUGCCGGUGUCAAACCGGAGGAAGGUGGGGAUGACGUCAAGUCCUCAUGGCCUUUAUGACCAGGGCUACACACGUACUACAAUGGCAUAAACAAUGGGCAGCGACUUAGCGAUAAGGAGCGAAUCCUCAAAUUAUGUCUCAGUCCGGAUUGG
rnacentral:rRNA from 1 species